GAGUUUGAUCGUGGCUCAGGAUGAACGCCGGCGGUGUGCCUAAUACAUGCAAGUCGAGCGCACUGGCCCAACUGAUAUGACGUGCUUGCACUGAAUUGACGUUGGAUUACCAGUGAGCGGCGGACGGGUGAGUAACACGUGGGCAACCUGCCCUGAAGCGGGGGAUAACAUCUGGAAACAGGUGCUAAUACCGCAUAACAACGAAAACCACAUGGUUUUCGUUUCAAAGAUGGUUUCGGCUAUCACUUCAGGAUGGGCCCGCGGUGCAUUAGCUAGUUGGUAAGGUAACGGCUUACCAAGGCAAUGAUGCAUAGCCGAGUUGAGAGACUGAUCGGCCACAAUGGAACUGAGACACGGUCCAUACUCC
rnacentral:rRNA from 1 species